UGUCUCGGGCACUGUUUCAAUCGCAGUUCAGCCUUUACUAUUAUUUUAUAAUACAGGCGUCAGCGGUAUUCUAGUUAAGACAGGAAAAAAUAUUAUGGAGAAAUGGUUCACAUCCCAUUUGUAUAAUCUAUACGGUUUUUUCUCCCUCCUUUUGAAGAGGUGAAAUCAGGUCGCUUCGAACCCUGACUCGAGACUUUAAUGAAGGUUUGGUGUUGACGUCUUUCGAUGUUGGCGCGGUUCAAGUGGUGGCUCUCUCUCUCUCUCUCUCUUCACGUUACCAUGACUACACCAGUCUCAAAAAUUUUAGUACAUCCUUGACAUCCUCUUGACAUUACUCUUUUUCGCGUUUCGGAUUUUCAGCGACCGGAGCCUGCACUCAAAAGCUUCAGUGAACUGCUCCAUUAGCCAACGUGCGUCGUCCUCAGUGCAGCUGUGGUGGGGCCUUGCUUCCCUUGCUCUCCUCUCUCCGCGAUGACUUCCUCAUUCCUCUGCUGCCCGUCCCCCUCCCGACUGAAUGAGUAUCGGAAAUCUGUAUGGAGUGGUUUGUUUUGACUCCCCUCUCAACUAUAUCCACGCAAAGCACCUACGAGUAUAUUGCAACGACAAUUGUGAGCGUGCGUGCGCUUUGCAUACACCACUUCAUUUCUCCCGUGUCCGUCUGCAGCCAGGAUUGUCUUCUGCAGCGGUCGCGUGUUGGUAGUGAGAUGAAACAGACAGCUACGUACCCAGGCCACAUGUUGAAUACUACCGUGGAAAGAGAGACUUACCUUUCACGGGCCAUCAGUAACUCCACCUACUCGGCCUCCACAGCGGAAUAGAUCCUGAAAGUUUUGCUUACACUGGAGUGUGUAGUACGAAGGAAGACAUGGAAAGGAUUGCAGGAUGAUUUUUAUGGACAGUGUGAAAGAUGGAUGGUGGAUGGCGCGGGUAUGGAAGUGUGAGGGACGGGAAGGUGGUGAGUGAGGUGCGGUGGCUGGGAGGAGCGGAGGUUGGCUAUGUGGCGUUGGUGUGGACAGGAUGCAAGGGGAGGCGCGUGACCCGUAAUACUAACUAAAUUUAUAAUUCUAUGUAAAAAUUAAACUGGACCGAUGCAAAAAGUGCUGCCAAUAAAACUUUACUGAAUAGAGCCACUUAACUAGUUUUUUGCUCUCUCUCUCUCUCUCUCUCUCUCUCUCUCUCUCUCUCUCUCUCUCUCUCUCUCUCUCUCUCUCUCUCUCUCUCUCUCUCUCUCUCUCUGAUUGAAAUGAAGCGAUUAUAUAUAAUGUGUAUGCAGACCCAAUACAGAUCUAAUUGAUGUAUCAAUGCAACAAAUUCAAUAGCAGCGGAAUGGUCAGAUAUAAUUUUCAGCCCAUUUGUCUCCAUCGAAUCGUGCUGAUAUAUAAUGAGAAAUGGACAGUGACUUUUUAAUGGUAUCUUUCGUAUUGAUUCACUAAGGUACUUUAAAGCAUUAUGUAUUUGUGUAUUUACUUCCGUGUGUGUGUGUGUGUGUGUGUGUGUGUGUGUGUGUGUGUGUGUGUGUGUGUGUGUGUGUGUGUGUGUGUGUGUGUGUCUUUCCCUCAUUGGAUUCGUAUAUACCGUAAAUAUUAAUGAGAAAGUGUAUUUAUGCAGUAUACGUAUAUGUAUGGUAUGUGCAUAUGUAUUUACGUAUGUAUCUGUUUAUCUGCCUUUGUCUUGUUUUUCUGUCUGUCUGUCCGUUUACUUAUGUAUGUAUGCAUGUAUGUAUGUAUGUAUGUAUGUAUGUAUUUUUUUUUUCAUGUAAUAGGGGCACUGAAAGAAAAAAAAAAGACCCACUGAGAUACUAAUCAUCCAAAAUUGGAGGACGUCUUGUCUUGUCUGUUUGAUUACCUGUCUGUCUGUAUAUAUGUAUGCAUGUGUAAGUAUAUAUAAGUAUGCAUGGCUUUGUCCUGCAGUGGCCUCAUGUAGACUGACA